rnacentral:rRNA from 1 species
UACGGGGGGGGCAAGCGUUGUUCGGAAUUACUGGGCGUAAAGGACUCGUAGGUGGCCAACUAAGUCGGACGUGAAAUCCCUCGGCUUAACCGGGGAACUGCGUCCGAUACUGGAUGGCUUGAGUUUGGGAGAGGGAUGCGGAAUUCCAGGUGUAGCGGUGAAAUGCGUAGAUAUCUGGAGGAACACCGGUGGCGAAGGCGGCAUCCUGGACCAAUACUGACGCUGAGGAGCGAAAGCCAGGGGAGCAAACGGG